rnacentral:rRNA from 2 species
AGAGUUUGAUCAUGGCUCAGAUUGAACGCUGGCGGCAGGCCUAACACAUGCAAGUCGAGCGGUAGCACAGAGAGCUUGCUCUCGGGUGACGAGCGGCGGACGGGUGAGUAAUGUCUGGGAAACUGCCUGAUGGAGGGGGAUAACUACUGGAAACGGUAGCUAAUACCGCAUAACGUCGCAAGACCAAAGUGGGGGACCUUCGGGCCUCAUGCCAUCAGAUGUGCCCAGAUGGGAUUAGCUAGUAGGUGGGGUAACGGCUCACCUAGGCGACGAUCCCUAGCUGGUCUGAGAGGAUGACCAGCCACACUGGAACUGAGACACGGUCCAGACUCCUACGGGAGGCAGCAGUGGGGAAUAUUGCACAAUGGGCGCAAGCCUGAUGCAGCCAUGCCGCGUGUGUGAAGAAGGCCUUCGGGUUGUAAAGCACUUUCAGCGGGGAGGAAGGCGAUAAGGUUAAUAACCUUGUCGAUUGACGUUACCCGCAGAAGAAGCACCGGCUAACUCCGUGCCAGCAGCCGCGGUAAUACGGAGGGUGCAAGCGUUAAUCGGAAUUACUGGGCGUAAAGCGCACGCAGGCGGUCUGUCAAGUCGGAUGUGAAAUCCCCGGGCUUAACCUGGGAACUGCAUUCGAAACUGGCAGGCUAGAGUCUUGUAGAGGGGGGUAGAAUUCCAGGUGUAGCGGUGAAAUGCGUAGAGAUCUGGAGGAAUACCGGUGGCGAAGGCGGCCCCCUGGACAAAGACUGACGCUCAGGUGCGAAAGCGUGGGGAGCAAACAGGAUUAGAUACCCUGGUAGUCCACGCCGUAAACGAUGUCGAUUUGGAGGUUGUGCCCUUGAGGCGUGGCUUCCGGAGCUAACGCGUUAAAUCGACCGCCUGGGGAGUACGGCCGCAAGGUUAAAACUCAAAUGAAUUGACGGGGGCCCGCACAAGCGGUGGAGCAUGUGGUUUAAUUCGAUGCAACGCGAAGAACCUUACCUGGUCUUGACAUCCACAGAACUUUCCAGAGAUGGAUUGGUGCCUUCGGGAACUGUGAGACAGGUGCUGCAUGGCUGUCGUCAGCUCGUGUUGUGAAAUGUUGGGUUAAGUCCCGCAACGAGCGCAACCCUUAUCCUUUGUUGCCAGCGGUUAGGCCGGGAACUCAAAGGAGACUGCCAGUGAUAAACUGGAGGAAGGUGGGGAUGACGUCAAGUCAUCAUGGCCCUUACGACCAGGGCUACACACGUGCUACAAUGGCAUAUACAAAGAGAAGCGACCUCGCGAGAGCAAGCGGACCUCAUAAAGUAUGUCGUAGUCCGGAUUGGAGUCUGCAACUCGACUCCAUGAAGUCGGAAUCGCUAGUAAUCGUAGAUCAGAAUGCUACGGUGAAUACGUUCCCGGGCCUUGUACACACCGCCCGUCACACCAUGGGAGUGGGUUGCAAAAGAAGUAGGUAGCUUAACCUUCGGGAGGGCGCUUACCACUUUGUGAUUCAUGACUGGGGUGAAGUCGUAACAAGGUAACCGUAGGGGAACCUGCGGUUGGAUCACCU